AUUGAACGCUGGCGGAAUGCUUUACACAUGCAAGUCGAGCGGCAGCGCGGGGGCAACCCUGGCGGCGAGCGGCGAACGGGUGAGUAAUAUAUCGGAACGUACCCCGUCGUGGGGGAUAACACAGCGAAAGCUGUGCUAAUACCGCAUACGACCUGAGGGUGAAAGCGGGGGAUCGCAAGACCUCGCGCGAUGGGAGCGGCCGAUAUCGGAUUAGCUUGUUGGUGAGGUAAAGGCUCACCAAGGCGACGAUCCGUAGCUGGUCUGAGAGGACGACCAGCCACACUGGAACUGAGACACGGUCCAGACUCCUACGGGAGGCAGCAGUGGGGAAUUUUGGACAAUGGGGGCAACCCUGAUCCAGCCAUGCCGCGUGCAGGAUGAAGGCCUUCGGGUUGUAAACUGCUUUUGUACGGAACGAAAAGGUCUUUUCUAAUAAAGAAGGCCCAUGACGGUACCGUAAGAAUAAGCACCGGCUAACUACGUGCCAGCAGCCGCGGUAAGCACGAG
rnacentral:rRNA from 1 species